rnacentral:rRNA from 1 species
AAAGGGAUCUUCGGAUCCCCGGUAGAGUGGCGCACGGGUGAGUAACGCGUAAAUAAUCUACCCUGGUGUCUGGAAUAAUUAGCCGAAAGGCUGACUAAUACGGGAUACAUGUUUACCUGUUGGGGUAAACAGGAAAGGUGGCCUCUAUUUAUAAGCUAUCACACUGGGAUGAGUUUGCGUACCAUUAGCUAGUUGGUGGGGUAAGAGCCCACCAAGGCGACGAUGGUUAGCGGGUCUGAGAGGAUGAUCCGCCACACUGGCACUGGAACACGGGCCAGACUCCUACGGGAGGCAGCAGUGAGGAAUAUUGCGCAAUGGGGGCAACCCUGACGCAGCGACGCCGCGUGAGUGAGGAAGGCCUUCGGGUCGUAAAGCUCUGUCAGCAGGGAAGAAGUGCAUGGUGGCUAAUAUCCAUUGUGUUUGACGGUACCUGCAAAGGAAGCACCGGCUAACUCCGUGCCAGCAGCCGCGGUAAUACGGAGGGUGCGAGCGUUGUUCGGAAUCACUGGGCGUAAAGGGCGCGCAGGCGGUUUUAUAAGUCAGAUGUGAAAGCCCACGGCUUAACUGUGGAAGAGCAUUUGAAACUGUGAGACUUGAGUACCAGAGGGGAAAGUGGAAUUCCCGGUGUAGAGGUGAAAUUCGUAGAUAUCGGGAGGAAUACCGGUGGCGAAGGCGACUUUCUGGCUGGAUACUGACGCUGAGGCGCGAAAGCGUGGGGAGCAAACAGGAUUAGAUACCCUGGUAGUCCACGCGGUAAACGAUGUGCACUAGAUGUCGGAGGUAUUGAUCCCUUCGGUGUCG